rfam:Thiotrichales bacterium SG8_50 WOR_8-12_14748, whole genome shotgun sequence.
GCCGGGUUGAUCAAACAUACUCUUGUGGAAUUCGCGGGCAUUGCCUAUAGUGCCGGAUAUUGCAGAUAUCUUUUGACGUUAUGCCGGUUGUUCCUCUCUCGUAGUGCGUAGCAGACCCUUCCGAAAUUACUCAGCAACAUCUGCAUAUACACACUCUUUAUUUCAACAAUAGGUAACGGUAAUGGCUACAGGCACAGUUAAGUGGUUCAACGAUUCAAAAGGUUUUGGUUUCAUUUCUCCUGACGAUGGCAGCAAGGAUGUGUUCGUGCAUCACAGCGCCAUCCAGGCUGAAGGCUUCAAGUCGCUCGCAGAAGGACAGAAAGUCUCCUACGACGUCGAGCAGGGCGAGAAAGGCCCGAGCGCGGCAAACGUCGUACCUCAGUAAGUAUCGAACCGGGAGCUUCUAGCCCGGGACAAGAGCCCCGCCCUUCGGCGGGGCUUUUUUU